rnacentral:rRNA from 1 species
AGAGUUGAUCAUGGCUCAGGAUGAACGCUGGCGGCGUGCCUAAUACAUGCAAGUCGAACGAGGUAGCAAUACCGAGUGGCGAACGGGUGAGUAACACGUAGGUAACCUGCCCUUAAGCUUGGGAUACCCAGAGGAAACUUUGGCUAAUACCGGAUAACAACAGAGAAGGCAUCUUCUUUGCUUGAAAGGCCCCUUCAAGGGUCACUUAAGGAUGGACCUGCGGCGCAUUAGCUAGUUGGUGAGAUAACAGCCCACCAAGGCGAGGAUGCGUAGCCGAACUGAGAGGUUGAUCGGCCACAUUGGAACUGAGACACGGUCCAAACUCCUACGGGAGGCAGCAGUAAGGAGUUUUCGGCAAUGGGGGAAACCCUGACCGAGCAACGCCGCGUGAGCGAUGACGGUCCUUUGGAUUUGUAAAGCUCUGUUGUAAGCCAUGAAUGACAGCUUGAGGAAAUGCAAGUUGUUUGACGACAGCUUACCAGAAAGCCACGGCUAACUACGUGCCAGCAGCCGC